GUUGUUUUACAAAACAUGUCUUAAUGGUAAAAUUAAUAUUAAGUCUGGCCUGCUCAAUGAUUAAUUAAAUAGCCGCAGUAUUUUGACUGUGCGAAGGUAGCAUAAUCAUUUGUCUUUUAAUUGAAGGCUUGUAUGAAUGGUUGGAUGAGGGAAUAACUUUCUUUAUAUUGAAAAGUUGAAUUUAAUCUUUAGGUUAAAAAGCUUAAAUUUUUAAAUGGGACGAGAAGACCCUAUAGAAUUUUAUUAUUUUAUAAAGUUAUAGUGUUUUGGUUAUUUAAUAUUUUAAUUUUAUGGAUAAUUUUGUUGGGGUGACAGUGAGAUUUUUUUAACUCUCUUAUCUUAUAUUUUAUAGAUUUAUAUAUUUUAUGAUCCUUAUUUUGAGAUUAUUAGAUUAAAUUACCUUAGGGAUAACAGCGUAAUUUUUCUGGAGAGUUCUUAUCGAUAGAGAAGUUUGCGACCUCGAUGUUGGAUUAAAAUUAGAUUUAAGUGCAGAAGCUUAAUUUCUAGGUCUGUUCGACCUUUAAAUUUUUACAUGAUUAAUUUUCAACCC
rnacentral:rRNA from 1 species